GAAAUUAACUUUGAAGUCUGGGAAGGCACCUAAGUGGCCGAUCUGUCAUUUUCCAUCUAAUAGAAAAUGGAAAUAUCAACUUGUUAUUACCUCCAAGCUUUCAACCUAGUUUCGUCCACUUUGAAUUCCAAACUUGCAACCUAAAUGUUGGAAGAAUCAGCUUGAAGCCGAUUCAAAAGGAUGUGGAUUAAGGUCAGGGAGAUAAGAGCAAGGGUGCGCAGUCUCAGAUUAAAAGGAUGACCAUCUAGAACUGAAUGGAGAAGAACCUUCUUGAUUCUGCUCUGAAUCUUUGGAAUCCCUUCCACAGAGAGCUGUAAAUGUUCAGCUGAAGGAAAAACCAACAAAAUUGGCAAAUAUGACACACCAGUUUUUACACUGCAGACAGAGGCUCAUGACAUGACGUGGUGGGUAGCACUACUGCCUCA